rnacentral:rRNA from 1 species
UACAGGGGGUGCAAACGUUGCUCGGAAUUAUUGGGCGUAAAGCGCGCGUAGGCGGCUACUUAUGUCGGAUGUGAAAGCCCCUGGCUCAACUGGGGAAGUGCACCCGAAACUGAGUAGCUGGAGUACGAAAGAGGGUCGCGGAAUUCCCGGUGUAGAGGUGAAAUUCGUAGAUAUCGGGAGGAACACCGGUGGCGAAGGGGGCGACCUGGGUCGAUACUGACGCUGAUGCGCGAAAGCGUGGGGAGCAAACAGG